rnacentral:rRNA from 1 species
AUUCCAGCUCCAAUAGCGUAUAUUUAAGUUGUUGCGGUUAAAAAGCUCGUAGUUGGAUUUCGGGCGUGGAGGUUCGGUCCGCCGUUUCGGUGUGCACUGUCUUUCUGCGUCUUUCUGUCGGGGACGCGCUUCUGGCCUUAAUUGGCUGGGACGUGGAUUCGACGAGGUUACUUUGAAAAAAUUAGAGUGUUCAAAGCAAGCUAAAGCUCUGAAUACAUUAGCAUGGAAUAACGCGAGAGGACUCGGUCCUUAUUUUGUUGGUCUUCAAGGAUGGAGUAAUGAUUAAGAGGGACAGUUGGGGGCAUUCGUAUUUCAUUGCUAGAGGUGAAAUUCUUGGAUUUUGGGAAGAUGAACUACUGCGAAGGCAUUUACCAAGGAUGUUUUCAUUA